GUAUUGCUUGUCACAGUCCCAUUUUCCUUUCAAUUUUAUUUAUAUCAGUGAUGAACAAAAGUAAAAUUUAUGCUCAUAAUCAGCCUUUUUUUUUUUUUUUUUUUUUGUCUUUUGUCUUUUUAGGGCCGCACCCGCAGCAUAUGGAGGUUCCCAGGCUAGGGGUCCACUCAGAGCUGUAGCUGCUGGCCUACACCACAGCCACAGCAACUCGGGAUCCGAGCUGUGUCUGCGACCCCACACCACAGCUCAUGGCAACACCGGAUCCUUAACCCACUAAGCAAGGCCAAGAAUUGAACCUUCAACCUUAUGGUGCCUAGUCGGAUUCACUAACCACUGAGCCACAUCGAGAACUCCAGGAACCUGUAUUUUUAAACCUCUCCCAAGGUGACACAGCCCUGCCAGGUGCAGGAGAGCCACCUCCCGGGACACAGCUGCUUGGUCACUCCUGGUGGGCCAGGAUUCCCAGCGCCCUGGGACCUUGUGAGUAUAAACUUCCUUCCGCCAAGCCCAGUAAGACAGCCUCCCCAGAGGAACAGACUGGUGGUGUCCAGACUUCCUCAAAGCCUGAGGGACUGAAGGUGGCUGGGCAGGCAGCCAAGGGGAGGGGAGGGGUGGAGUCCUCUGACAGCUGCCCUCAGCCUCAGGGCUGGCCCUGAGAAGCCCAGUGCCACUGGCCACCUGCCCAGUCAACAAUCCAGAAAGGGCCAGGCCACAUUCCCCUCUGCACUCUUGGCUGAAUGAACCAGAGGUCCUCAGACAAUGGUUCUGACUGCAGAAGUUUGAAAAAUGCUGCUGCCUAGGUGCCACCCCCAAGGAGGCCCCAGCUAGUUGGUCUGGGGUACACUUGACCACGGCUGAUUCUACUAUGUGCAAGCAGGGCGAGGACCAUGGAACUGGGGGGGAAGAGUGAACAUAAGGAAAGGACUUUGCUGGAGGCGAGUGUAGAACCCAGAAGAGAUCCUGCUCACGCCCCAAAAUGGGGAUUUUAUCCAGAGGGACGAUGGCGGUUACUAUUUCUGGGCUCCUGUGUGUGCUUACCACGUGCCAGCUGUCGUCCAAGGCAUCUUCACCUCUUCCCGGACCUGAGGGAGGGCUCACCUCACUCACCAAGUCCUGCUCUUAACCAGCUGGUUCUUGGAAGACUGUGAAGGCUCACAAAAAAAAGAGUGAAGACUUUUCAUGAAAACCUAGAAAACUGCAAGCUACUUUACACCUACUCAUUCAAGAAAUGUCCAGCUUUCCUACCCUUUGUGCCUGGUGCUGACGUCCAGAGCUGGGCACUCAAACUGGAUGGGAAAGCACGCAGUAGUUCACAUAGCAUCCUGUUCAGAGAAAUGGCAAGAAACCGAAAAGUGGAGUGCACCACCCUCGGAGAGCUAAGAACUUUCUACAAGUUGUUGCAGUGGUGUGUGGGUCUGUGUGUAUGUGUCCACACUAGGUCUUGAUGGGAAAGGCAUUUCUUAUUGUCAGUCACAGUCCGAAACACUUGAGAAACAGAGACAGAUGGGCAAGAGACAAGCCUUCGUGUACCGAAUAUAAUUGUGUAAGCAAACGCAGUUCUGUUAACCUAAGAAGCCCCCAACUGUAACUGCGUGGUAGUUACAAAUUUCUAGAUACACCUUGAAAUUCACUUUGUGGCCAUGACACCCAAAGUAGAAGAAAUGGGUGAAAAGAGUAUAAACAGCCUUCUCCAUGGUUUGGAAAGCGUCCCCCACUCCCCCAGGAAUUUCAGCCCAGCACCACCAUCACCCCUAAGACCGACCAAUGGUGGGCCUUAAUGUCUUCCUCAAGUCUCGACGGUACAAUAGCACAUACCUUGGUAGAUUUAUGGAGAAAGAUCUCCGGACUAUUAGUCCACGGGGCGCCCAGGGGCUGAAUCGGCCCAGGGAAACCAGGAGUGGAAAGCUGCCCCCAGCAUCCCCAAACCCUUCCUUCUUCUCCGUCAGGCUGCUUAACCGUUUUCAGCCUGCUGAGCAUGCUAGUUGUUGCAGCUGGAUGGAGCCCAGGAUUCCUAGAGCUCUCAAAGGCGGUCCCACGAAUGAUGGGACUUCAGGCCGCUCAGAGCGCACAUCCAGCAGACCUGCAGCAAAGGACCAGCACAGCUACCAUGUACGGCUGUGCCGCAACCAAAUGCAGAGCAAACACGUCGGCCCAGCGUCGCCUGCCCUUGGGUUCGGGGGGCCUGGCUCCCCCAAUUCCAGCAUUAAGGAUGAUCCCCUGUACUUGCUGUCCUGUGGCAUCACCGGUAGGCGCUGGCUUCACUCUGGAAAACAACAUCUCACCCACCUGUGGACAAGCUUUUGUCCUAAAAACUGAUCAUUUCUCAGACUACAAGCUUCACCAAGUGCUUGAUACCGGCCCUCGAUCCGUUUGCAAGACCGGGGCUUCCAUGUUACGGUCUCAUAAAACACUGAACUCUCACGCAGCCACCUGUCAGUCAACCAGCAGCACAGCUUAGUGGUUACAUCCACAAAGGACUAAGCAAAGUGUUGGGAAGGUUACGCUCCAAAACGUUUCAGUUUUUACCUUUGGGGAGGGGUGAAAGAGGACAAGUUGAAAGGGUCUUUAAGGUGAAAUGUCUGACAUUUUAAUUUUCUUCACAAAAAUGCAUGAGUGUUAAUCUCUUCAAUGGCACAUUUAAAAAAAGAAAAAGCUAUCAGAAUUAUUUAGCGUUGAUAUUCCAGACUUAAGGACUCCUCUGAUGAGAAGCAGAUUCAAACAGUAGACGUAAGUCUACUCACAGAAUUCAAGGCACUAAACUUCGCAUUGUUCUUUUUUUUUUUUCUAUUUCAGAGAUGAUGAAACAGAACCCAGAGAGAGAAACUUACCCAGGUUCUCAUACCUAGUAAAUGGUGAAGUCAGCAUUCAAAUCCACAUAAUUUCAAGCAAAGAUUCUUCUUUCAUACAAGGGGGCAGAAGGUAAGUGAACACUGUAAGAUCUUUUCUGUCCACUAGUAGUAGAUACGCAACACCGGCUAAGAUGUAGGGAGAAAAGUCACUCUCAUCACCAUGGUGAUGCAACUAUUAACUGAUCCUCCUACUUUGAUAGGACCGUUCAAUAUUUUAAAUAUGUGAAUUCCUUUGAACCAGCCAUUUCCCCUGCAGAAAUUUAUCCUAGGGAAACCUAAAAAAAAAAAAAAAAAAAAA
rnacentral:lncRNA from 1 species